rnacentral:rRNA from 1 species
UACGUAGGGCGCAAGCGUUGUCCGGAAUUAUUGGGCGUAAAGAGCUCGUAGGUGGCUUGUCGCGUCUGCCGUGAAAGCCCAUGGCUUAACUGUGGGUCUGCGGUGGAUACGGGCUGGCUAGAGGUAGGUAGGGGAGAAUGGAAUUCCCGGUGUAGCGGUGAAAUGCGCAGAUAUCGGGAGGAACACCGGUGGCGAAGGCGGUUCUCUGGGCCUGACCUGACGCUGAGGAGCGAAAGCGUGGGGAGCGAACAGG